UAUUCAUGUCUAUACGAUAUCUUACACGUCUACCACCUUAAAGACUUUCUGGCUUUCGUCCCAGCUCAAUACCCCAAAACUAAAUGGUGUGUUCCAGGCCUCAGAGUCGCCUUAAUCGGAAGAGCGGUUUCGGCCGUACAUAAAAAUAUCGAAAUGCUAAUUUAUUGUUGUGGGAAGAGAGAUACAGAAACACACAGAACUCUUCUAACUGAAUAUACACAGGAAGUACAGAGAGAGACAGAAAAACACCUGCUGUGCAGAAAAACACACGAGUCUUCUAGCUCAGUACACACUUACAACAUAACGAUCAGAAAGUGUUCUAUGGUUUUAGAUCAUGCUUCUAAAAAUAGAUUAUACGUAUUGAUUAUGCUUGUUAACUCAUACUGAUUAUUAGAUUUAUGCUUUUAAGUAUCGAUUCUAAAUGCUAGUUAUACCUAUUGAUUAUUCUUAUACUAUACCGCUACAGAUCCAUUCAUAUACAGGACAUACAUUAUUUUACUGCUGCUUGAGUCUUAAAUAUGUCAUUAUUUUAGAACAGGAGUAAUGUAUGUGGUCAAAACAUUCAAAUAAUAUUGAUUAUUUAAACCACAGACAGCGCUUCUGUGGCACCUGUGGGGAGAGUUUCGAAUGUGUUACAGAGCAAAAUAUCUAGCAAUUGUUAAAAUGUACAAAACUGUGCCUAAAAACAGGUUAACGCAGGGGUUCCCAAACUUUCCCAGGGCAAGGCCCUCCAAAUGGCAUUAACAUUUGACCGAGGCCCCGCUUUUGCAAGAUGUCUUUAAAACAAAUUAAAAAUACAGACUUCUGAAUAUAUCCCCUUUGUUAUUUAUUAAUAAUUACAUCUAACAUCUUUACAUUACAUUGGGAAUUGAUGUUGUGUGUGUGGCUGUCUGAGAGUGAGAAUUUAUUUUUCACCCUAAAUUGUUGAGGCCCCCCGAGCCCCUCCCACUUGCUGACGUCAACGCUGACGCGCACGCCCUUUAAAAGUCUUGUAGCACGUGAUUGUGGUCUUUUCUCCCGCAGGAGCGCUGGAAGUACAAGCAAGCAGGUAUCGCAGUGAAAGUUAGAAGAAGAAGAAGAAGUAGAAGAAGAUCAAGAUACAAGAGAACGUGAGAUGACACCACGUCCCUCCCACAGCUGGACCAGUGCUGCACACCUUCUGGAAGGGAACUUGGGGCAUUACCCUGUACUGCCUCUAGGUGAGUCGAGGAAGCUGUUAACUCUUUGGGGACGUGAGACUCGCCGGCGAGCUCCUGAGUGCUCAGGUUCACUCGUGUCCUCAAGUUCUCACUUUAUAGCAUGACGAGGAUGUAUUGUACUAUUACAGAUUCUCAAAAUGUUUGUUGUAAAGUCUCCACUUUCAGACGUGCCCUCGUGUAGACCACGCAAACAUUAGUGAAAUUUCAGAAUUGUAGCAUGAUUGAGGUUUGACCUGUAGUGUGAAGGAAUGAACAGAAAGUGAAAUGUGAUGUUCUCUCCUCCUCCUGUUCACAUAUUAAUGACAUGUUAAUCUCACUCUGGAGGACAAGCAGAAUGUUUCACUCUGAUUGGUGGAGAAAUGCUCAGGAAGUGAAUGCUAAUAUUUAAUAUCUUUCGGUUGUAAUGUCUGUACACUAAAAAUCCCAGAACACGACGUGGUCCUUUUUAUUCUUCUGAUUGUUUAUUAAAGUGCUGAAAUAAAUGUACAUCUGUGAAUAUUAUGCAUGAUUGUCCUAUAAUAAACUCUUAAAAUGUG